GCCGAGAUGGUGAAACCGGUAGACACGUUACUUCGAGGGAGUAAUGCCUAUAGGCAUGCGGGUUCAAAUCCCGCUCUCGGCA
rnacentral:tRNA from 1 species